UGUGCGAACGGGUGAGUAACACGUGGGCAAUCUGCCCUGCACUCUGGGACAAGCCCUGGAAACGGGGUCUAAUACCGGAUACUGAUCCGCCUGGGCAUCCAGGCGGUUCGAAAGCUCCGGCGGUGCAGGAUGAGCCCGCGGCCUAUCAGCUUGUUGGUGAGGUAGUGGCUCACCAAGGCGACGACGGGUAGCCGGCCUGAGAGGGCGACCGGCCACACUGGGACUGAGACACGGCCCAGACUCCUACGGGAGGCAGCAGUGGGGAAUAUUGCACAAUGGGCGAAAGCCUGAUGCAGCGACGCCGCGUGAGGGAUGACGGCCUUCGGGUUGUAAACCUCUUUCAGCAGGGAAGAAGCGAAAGUGACGGUACCUGCAGAAGAAGCGCCGGCUAACUACGUGCCAGCAGCCGCGGUAAUACGUAGGGCGCAAGCGUUGUCCGGAAUUAUUGGGCGUAAAGAGCUCGUAGGCGGCUUGUCACGUCGGUUGUGAAAGCCCGGGGCUUAACCCCGGGUCUGCAGUCGAUACGGGCAGGCUAGAGUUCGGUAGGGGAGAUCGGAAUUCCUGGUGUAGCGGUGAAAUGCGCAGAUAUCAGGAGGAACACCGGUGGCGAAGGCGGAUCUCUGGGCCGAUACUGACGCUGAGGAGCGAAAGCGUGGGGAGCGAACAGGAUUAGAUACCCUGGUAGUCCACGCCGUAAACGGUGGGCACUAGGUGUGGGCAACAUUCCACGUUGUCCGUGCCGCAGCUAACGCAUUAAGUGCCCCGCCUGGGGAGUACGGCCGCAAGGCUAAAACUCAAAGGGAAUUUGACGGGGGCCGCACAAGCGGCGGGAGCAUGUGGCCU
rnacentral:rRNA from 1 species